rnacentral:tRNA from 1 species
AUCUAAAUAGCUUAUAUAAGAGCAUGAUAUUGAAGAUAUCAAGGAAAUAAUUUAUUUUUAGGUA